AUUGAACGCUGGCGGCAGGCCUAACACAUGCAAGUCGAACGAGUGGCGGACGGGUGAGUAAUGUCUGGGAAACUGCCCGAUGGAGGGGGAUAACUACUGGAAACGGUGGCUAAUACCGCAUACCCUCGGAUGUGCCCAGAUGGGAUUAGCUAGUUGGUGGGGUAACGGCUCACCUAGGCGACGAUCCCUAGCUGGUCUGAGAGGACGACCAGCCACACUGGGACUGAGACACGGUCCAGACUCCUACGGGAGGCAGCAGUGGGGAAUAUUGGACAAUGGGCGAAAGCCUGAUGCAGCCAUGCCGCGUGUAUGAAGAAGGCCUUCGGGUUGUAAAGUACUUUCAGCGAGGAGGCGGUACCCGCAGAAGAAGCACCGGCUAACUACGUGCCAGCAGCCGCGGUAAUAC
rnacentral:rRNA from 1 species